rnacentral:misc_RNA from 1 species
GAUGAAGAACGUAGCGAAAUGCGAUAAGUAAUGUGAAUUGCAGAAUUCAGUGAAUCAUCGAAUCUUUGAACGCACAUUGCGCCCCCCAGUAUUCUGGCGGGCAUGCCUGUUCGAGCGUCAUUUCAACCAUCAAGCCCUGCUUGUGUUGGGGUCCUGCGGCUGCCCGCAGGCCCUGAAAACCAGUGGCGGGCUCGCUAGUCACACCGAGCGCAGUAGCACAUCUCGCUCAGGGCGUGCGGCGGGCUCCAGCCGUUAAAGCACCCACCUUUCGCAAGGUUGACCUCGGAUCAGGUAGGAAUACCCGCUGAACUUAAGCAUACCAAUAAGCGGAGGA